rnacentral:rRNA from 1 species
UUCCGGUUGAUCCUGCCGGAGGUCAUUGCUAUUGGGGUCCGAUUUAGCCAUGCUAGUUGCGCGAUUUAGAUCGCAGCGGAAAGCUCAGUAACACGUGGCCAAACUACCCUGCAGAGGAGCAUAAUCUCGGGAAACUGAGGCUAAUACUCCAUACGGCUCUCUCGCUGGAGUGCAGAGAGCCCGAAACGCUUCGGCGCUGCAGGAUGUGGCUGCGGCCGAUUAGGUAGACGGUGGGGUAACGGCCCACCGUGCCGAUAAUCGGUACGGGUUGUGAGAGCAAGAGCCCGGAGACGGAAUCUGAGACAAGAUUCCGGGCCCUACGGGGCGCAGCAGGCGCGAAACCUUUACACUGCACGACAGUGCGAUAAGGGGACCCCAAGUGCGAGGGCAUAUAGUCCUCGCUUUUGUGUACCGUAAGGUGGUACACGAAUAAGAGCUGGGCAAGACCGGUGCCAGCCGCCGCGGUAAUACCGGCAGCUCAAGUGAUGACCGAUAUUAUUGGGCCUAAAGCGUCCGUAGCUGGCCGCGUAGGUUCGUCGGGAAAUCCAUCCGCUCAACGGAUGGGCGUCCGGCGAAAACCACGUGGCUUGGGACCGGAAGGCUCGAGGGGUACGUCCGGGGUAGGAGUGAAAUCCCGUAAUCCUGGACGGACCGCCGAUGGCGAAAGCACCUCGAGAAGACGGAUCCGACAGUGAGGGACGAAAGCUGGGGUCUCGGACCGGAUUAGAUACCCGGGUAGUCCCAGCCGUAAACGAUGUUCGCUAGGUGUGUCACUCACUACGAGUGAGUGAUGUGCCGUAGGGAAGCCGCUAAGCGAACCGCCUGGGAAGUACGUCCGCAAGGAUGAAACUUAAAGGAAUUGGCGGGGGAGCACUACAACCGGAGGAGCCUGCGGUUUAAUUGGACUCAACGCCGGU